AAUCAACGCUGGCGGCGUGCCUAACACAUGCAAGUCGCACGAGAAAGGGUCUUCGGAUCUGAGUAAAGUGGCGCACGGGUGAGUAACACGUGAAUUAUCUACCUUCGAGUGGGGAAUAACUUCGGGAAACCGAGGCUAAUACCGCGUAAUAUCUACGGAUCAAAGCAGUAAUGCGCUUGAAGAGGAGUUCGCGGCAGAUUAGUUAGUUGGCGGGGUAAUGGCCCACCAAGACGAUGAUCUGUAUCCGGCCUGGGAGGGCGCACGGACACACUGGAACUGAAACACGGUCCAGACUCCUACGGGAGGCAGCAGUGGGGAAUUUUGCGCAAUGGGGGAAACCCUGACGCAGCAACGCCGCGUGGAGGAUGAAGUCUCUUGGGUCGUAAACUCCUUUCGAUAGGGAAGAUUAUGACGGUACCUAUAGAAGAAGCCCCGGCUAACUUCGUGCAGCCGCCGCCGUAA
rnacentral:rRNA from 1 species